GAAGCUCCCCAGGUUAUUUUCGCAAGAUCCAAACCCUUACCCACACAGUCUGGAGCCCUUGCUACAGUUAUAGGACAGAGAAAAUCAAAGUCGGUGAAGUCAGGGACAAUUUAAGAUCCUGCUCACACUGACAGAUGAACAGAGACUCCAAGGGAAGAAGAAUCUGCUGUGUACUCCUGGAGCUUGACGGAGGCUAAGCCUCCAUGGUGCUGUUGAGGGGUCCAUAGUAUUUUUUUUGCUGCCUCUGAGUCCCCAAGGCCUUUAAGCAGAAGUGACAGUAGACGCUUGCCAUCAGCCAAUCCAGACUUUUACCAGGACAACAGGGAGACAGACCCUCUGGGUUUGGAUGAGAUUUGGCAGUGGAGACUCUCACCUGACAUGUUGUGUCCCUGUCAGAGCACCUUUCAGAGUGUGCCUUUCCCUGCUCUCCCACCCCCCGCCCCUGCCCUGCUAGGUCCCUCUGUCCCCCUCCUGCUGCUCACAGAUGGUAUAAAAGAGGCUCUUUGGCUAUUUGCAUCUGGCUUUCGCUUCUUUUCCAGAUUGAAAUAUUAAGUUUAUUUUAUUUUGUACAAGCUUCAGAUCCCAACAUCAUCCACCAGACUUGAUCUUCACUUUCCCAAGAGUGUGGGGGGUGGGGAGCCAACAGCACCGGUUCCCCAGAGUGGGGAGGCAAGUAGGCGGCUGCCAUGGUACAGGCGCCAUUUGGAAUUACUGACUUCUAAGAUUAAUAAAGUAAUUUCAACUUUUCUUUC
rnacentral:lncRNA from 1 species